GGGCCAAAAUUUCUCAUAGAUGGCGCUGUUCGUUUGGUGGUAAGAAAUUCAAAUUUGUUCAGAGAAAUUUACUUUUUUGUGAAUAUCUCAGCAACUACAAAUCGUAGGGUGACAAAAUUUGACCUGCUGAUUCAAAAAAAAAUUAGCUUUCACCAGGUCAAAUUUUAUCUCUGAGUGAUCUUUAAUUUGGGAGAUAUUGAAUUAAAAUUGAUUUCCCCCAUACAUUUUUUAAAUAGCUUACCACCAGCGUGACAGCGGAAGCCAUGCCAUUUUUUUUCUCUUUCUCGCCCAGCUUUUGACAGUGAGAUCUGUCAGACCGAAAUGUUUUGACAUGUUUUUGUCUUCUCUGAUCGUAAAAUCGUCGUCGGAAUGGUCAAAACCGUCAAAGCGGACCAAAAGCCGGUUAAAUUCAUUCCGGAAAGGUUUUGCGUCGAGGUCAAAACACGGUGCGCGGUCGGUUUGUUCACCGGUGUGAUGUGGAAGGUGCGCUAAAAUAAACUUACGUGGUGGCGGAGGCGGUAUUUGAGUGGGACAUCGGACUUGGUUGCGGAUUCAACGGGGAUGACGGCAUCAGGCCACCACUUUGUGAGGGAUGUGGCAUGUGCGGAGCGGCGGGUAAGGUCAUGUUAAAGUUGGGGUGAUUCUGGGAGCCACCUCCGCCCAUACCUUGCGAGUGAGGAGAGGCUGUAGUGUGCGUAUUUGACCCGGAAGGUGGUGUAAGUGGGGCGGCGAAUCGAAGACCCGGAUCGCGAGGACUUUGCGGACCUCGCAUGAUUCCACUGCAGAGGAAGGUUGAUCCGAUCGAGACCGGUCCACUGUGCGGAUCUUCCAUCGUGAUUGGAGACGGCGGAUUGUGGUCCUCGGAUUGGGACCUUCUCCGGUAGACGGCUGUUUUGUCCAAGUAUUUCGAGAGGAACCGUGAUUUCUUCCACGACGUGACUUCAAUCGAAGCGACUGUAGGCGCCCUCAUGGAUCGAACAGACCGGGACCCACAAACAUGCCGUACAUGGGCGGACAAUCACACACCGAUGGAAGCUCUUUUACGGCGGCACACUCGCCAGCCGCUUCCAACUGGCCCGGAACACCGAGAAUGCCGCGGCCAUCACCACGACCUGACCAAAGUCGAAACCACAAGGCGCGGGAGUGCUCGCGUUCUGCCAGCUGUAAGUGCAGGUCAAUCGCUUGCGACUGCAACAUCUCUUUUUCAAACUACGCUACUGGAUCACACAACGAAGGUUGCAAUAUUUGCCGGUAACGACGCAGGAGCGAUUGCCACUGGUGUUUCCCCCGGGGGAUGCAAUCGAGAAGGUUGGACAGCAUAAGGUUUACAUCCAGCUGUACCGGCACUCGAAUGUUAUUUUUAUCGUCGAAGGAGAAGGACUCCAGCCCGAACGAGAUGAUGUACACGUUCUACCUGGUGCUUGUCAAGCCGUCCUCCGUCGAGGACAGCCAAUCACAGGACGCGUAACCCUAGAUACCCUCCUCGGUGAGCCAAUCUGUCCCGGGCUCUGUUCCUCCAGGAAGACCACCCAGCAACGUUCCAGGACUGUCCUCGUCAAGCGUCACCGAGAACGACGGCGUACCCAAAAUGAACCUCAACAUGCAAUCGCUGUUCGAGAAACGUUUGGUGCCACGCACGGUCCCGGAACGUACGUGGAAGAGCUGGGUGGAUCGAAGCAUAAACUGAGCGCGCUCAGUGAAGGACCCUCCAAGCAGCAGAAGGUCCUUUAUCCGGCAUAUUUCAACCCAGUGCUGGCCCACGUCGUGGCCAUGUGUGAAGCUGCCGUUUGUGGCAUUGGCGAAGAAACUUACGCGCCGUCGGAUUCCUCAAGGCAGGUGAAAGCGAACGACACUUCGUUGGUGCUGAAACUGUUGACCUUGCCUCAGCCGAAGGCACCACAGGUGCUUGUUUCGUUUAACGGUUUUGCGUCGAGGUCGCAGCACGAUGCGCGGUUGAUUUGUGUCCCGGUAAAGCUGUGGAGAUGAAGGUGCGCCAAAACUAUCUUACGUGGUGGAGACGGUCGUUUUUGGCUUUUUAGGUAGUGGAAUACUACCCCCAGAUCUGUUCAAAACAUGUCCCGGCCAGCCGUCGGUCGGAGUCUCAGCUAACUGGACGAUUGGAAGAUAAUAAACCACGGACCGCGGACGAACCUGCUGCUGCUACACCGGGUCAGGAGUUCAGAGAUUUUGAUUUGAAGUAUGGGACAGACAGGCAAGCAAGCCGGCUGCCGGUGGAGAUUACUUUGCUUACUCAGAUCGGCACCUGUGCCAACACCAGUUGCAGCGGCUCCUUCGAGGAUUUGCUCGUUGGAUUGAGUCUAAGCAGUGUUCCAUUUUAAAAUGUCCUCGAAAAGAUGACAUGGCCGUCGCCUGCGCCAGCGUCGCUACCGCUACCGGAAGCGGCACCAUUACUGUCAAAA
rnacentral:lncRNA from 1 species